UUAAAUUUACUAAUUAGAGAAAAUACUAUUUUACUCCCAUUGAGCAUUUAGAAAUUUUAGGAAGAGGUUUCAGUUUCUGGGGCCUGAGAAAAUGAGAGAAUAUACAACAGGAAAUUCACAUAAACCAUGAUUAUUUUAAAAACUCAGGAAGAUAAGGUAUGUAUCUCCAAAUUGGUCCCUUCUGGGUUGUCACAGUGAACUGUGUCAGCUGGAAGUCCAAGGGAAUAGUGACUUCUUCACAAGUUGAAGCAACCAUGAUAUCCAGAUGAAAUGCUUUGUGUGCUGUAUUGUGACUUCACUAUAUUGGUGUUAAUAUGCAAGUCCCACAAACCAGAUUUAGACAACAGCCUGAUGGACCUUGUAAUCUGUCACUGAAGCUGAAUGGAGCUUAAUAGACACAAACAACAACAAAAGUCUGACAAGAAACAGUUCGACGCUGUGACUUCCAUGUCCUGAGUCGCAAGAGCACUGCUCAGAAUUUCAAGGCACAUCUUCCAAAGGUAUGUGAAAGGAGA